ACAUCUUUAGAGUUAGAAAAUCCUACCCUUGCUUCUCCUACACAAAAAAAUUCAGAUUUGUAUUCAUUUUCUGUAAAUGAUGAUUAGGGAUGUCAAAAUGGGUAACCCAACUCAACUCAACUCAUAAUCAAAUGAGUUUAGGGUUAAAUGAGUUAUGGGUUGACCCAACUCAUUUUGUUAAAUGGGUUAGGUCAACCCAUAACUCAUUUAAUUUGAUUGGUUGAGUUGUUAAAUGGGUUAACUCAUUUAAGUAAUAAUUUAAUUAAUUAUUAUU
rnacentral:sRNA from 1 species